rnacentral:tRNA from 1 species
GCCUUUGUGGUGUAAUGGUAGCAUGUUUGGCACAUAUUCGAGAAGUUUGAGUUCAAGUCUUAGCGAGGGCA